GGCACCCACAGAUUUAACCCAAAAUAGAAAAUAUAAAGAAACUGGAUGGGAACGUUAGUAUAUUCAUCGUCCUCCUCCUCCUCCCACCGCACCGAUUGGAGAUUUCGAUCCUCUCUCUUUGCAUGCGAUCGAGUGAGUUCGGAACUCAGGGAGUGGUGGCGGAUUAGGGCUUCGUGCCAUUUCAAUUCGAAGAGCAUCGACCAUGCCUUCGGUGCUUGGAGAAACCCUCGACCCACGAAUGGCUUUCCCCUCGUCCUCCGCCUCGCUCACCUCCUUCUAUGGCAAAUCCAGAUUCAAUCGUUUUCAACAGAAGCGUCACAAGUGGAAUAGUCGUGGUAAUCUUAGCUAACAUUUGCUUUUCGUGGGGUGAUAUCUCGUCGCUUUAGGUAUUUGUUGCUGCUUGCUGCUGGUGAUUAAAGAACCGUGACAAAAAAUCAUAAUUGAUGGCCAGUUGUUAUUAGUCUUGCAAAAAGAUAGCUUCCAGAGAUUUUGGGACUGAUCCAUCUUUCUGCACUCCUAACUUUAGGGAAUCAUUGGUGAAGCAUAAAUGUAGUACUCCUGUCAUCAUUGAAAAUAUUGUGAAGAAUAUAGCCUUGGAGGAUCUUGACAUUUUAUCUAUUAUAAUUGGAGAACUUGGAUGAGUUUUUAGUGGACCCUUGACGCACAAAUCAUUUAGCAUUCUUAGUAUCCUAACAUGGAUGGAACGUUUGAUUUAUUGUUGUCUUUAUUAUUUCAGGUUAUUUGUACUCCGGGAAAGAAGUGCUGCCCAAUCAAAUGUGAAAUCCUGGGCCACUUAGAUUUGAAUGAUACGAAAAUGUGGAAAUAGCAACGAUGUUGAGUCUGUUGCUACGCUGCAAAUCUCAGUCGCCAAGCCCAGCGCGGUACCAUGAAAGGAGCAGCUACAAGUUCUUCUUAAAGAAUAUUUUUAGUGCAGUUUUGGUUUUGUACUAGAUCCUUUCUUGAGUCUUGUAUGUAUUCCUCUAGUACAUUCCAUUGUUUUACCACCCUCGACUGUGUUUUUUUUACUACAUUUUGUCUUUGUCUGAUCGUGCGAUGAGCUAAAGUGGUGAGUUUUGUUAUGGAUUGUUAAUUUCGUGAUCAAUUAAUGUUCGCAAAAAAUCUUCGAUUAACAAA